UGGGGAAUUUUCCGCAAUGGGCGAAAGCCUGACGGAGCAAUGCCGCGUGGAGGUGGAAGGCCUACGGGUCGUCAACUUCUUUUCUCGGAGAAGAAACAAUGACGGUAUCUGAGGAAUAAGCAUCGGCUAAUUCUGUGCCAG
rnacentral:rRNA from 1 species